UUACUUUCUCUGUAGCUCUUGAAGAAACCUCCGGGUAUGAAAGGAGGAAAAUUUCUCACUGGAAAAAUCAUAAAAUCUCAUCAACAACAGUGAAAAAGCUAAGCCCUCCGCUAAUCUCUCAAAUUUUGAUUUCAGAUCCAACAAGAUCCGCGAAGACAUAUUAUUGAUGGAAAACAUAGUAAUGUUACUUUCGAUAAAUUCCCUUAUUAUCUCAGCUGAAUUUUCUGAAUAUAUCCAAGUAGGGGGUGGCAGGAAUGGUGGUGGUAGUAAGAACAAGGAAUUUGCGACCUAUGGUCAUAACAGAUGGAAGCAUUGUGGAUAUCGUUCCGUCGUCAGAUGCCCGCAGAACUCAUGUUAUGUCUCAGAUAAAUGCACAGUUUAUUUAUAAGAAUGAAAGACUCACAAAAUUUGUGGACAUAAAUAUCUACUGCAGAAUUUGUUCUAUCUAGUAGUCUCCGGACUGCAUCAACAUUCUCCCUCAUUUCUUUGCAAAAGAGACUCAUUUUGAUAGUGCACUUAACAAUAUGGGGGAAUUUAUUUCACUCUCAUCAUUCCUGCAAAAGUUGCACAAUGACGUCCUUGGAAAAUGGAGAUCCAUAGUUUCUAAUGUCGGUCUUUCAGUAGUUCUGAUACUCGGUACUUAUACAAAAUAUUAGAAUUGCAAAGAAGAAGAAAACCAGAAACAUCAACAUAAAUCGUUGGAUGGAGUUGAUUUUCGCAUCUCAAAAGGGAUGAUAUCUCUGUAUCUUACUUUUUCAUUCAUGAGAGAGUACAAUAUCUGUAAACAAUCCCAAUUAAUA